GUCAGCCGCCGCGGUAACACCGGCGGCCCGAGUGGUGAUCGUGAUUAUUGGGUCUAAAGGGUCCGUAGCCGGUUUGGUCAGUCCUCCGGGAAAUCUGAUAGCUCAACUAUUAGGCUUUCGGGGGAUACUGCCAGACUUGGAACCGGGAGAGGUAAGAGGUACCACAGGGGUAGGAGUGAAAUCUUGUAAUCCCUGUGGGACCACCUGUGGCGAAGGCGUCUUACCAGAACGGGUUCGACGGUGAGGGACGAAAGCUGGGGGCACGAACCGGAUUAGAUACCCGGGUAGUCCCAGCCGUAAACGAUGCUCGCUAGGUGUCAGGCAUGGCGCGACCGUGUCUGGUGCCGCAGGGAAGCCGUGAAGCGAGCCACCUGGGAAGUACGGCCGCAAGGCUGAAACUUAAAGGAAUUGGCGGGGGAGCACAACAACGGGUGGAGCCCUGCGGUUUAAUUGGACUCAACGCCGGACAACUCACCGGGGGCGACAGCAAUAUGUAGGCCAAGCUGAAGACUUUGCCUGAAUCGCUGAGGAGUGGUGCAUGG
rnacentral:rRNA from 1 species